GCGGGUAUAAUAUAGUAGUAGUAUAUUUCCUUGCCAAGGAAAAAGCGUGGGUGCAAAUCCCAUUACCCGCUCCA
rnacentral:tRNA from 1 species